GAUGAAGAACGUAGUGAAAUGCGAUACUUGGUGUGAAUUGCAGAAUCCCGUGAACCAUCGAGUCUUUGAACGCAAGUUGCGCCUCAAGCCAUUAGGUUGAGGGCACGUCUGCCUGGGCGUCACAUAUCGUUGCCUGAUGCCAGUUUCCUCGUGAUGGGUGACUGUGCAGGGCGAAUGAUGGCUUCCCGUGAGCAUUGUUGCCUCAUGGUUGGUUGAAAAUUGAGUCCUUGGUAGGGAGCGCCGUGAUAGAUGGUGGUUGAGUGACGAACGAGUCCCAAUCAUGUGAGACCCCUACCGAAUUUGGCCUUCAUGACCCACAUGCGUCUUUGGAACGCUCAUGACGAGACCUCAGGUCAGGCGGGGCUACCCGCUGAGUUUAAGCAUAUCAAUAAGCGGAGGA
rnacentral:misc_RNA from 1 species